UAGAUUAAGUUAUUAAGGGCGCACGGUGGAUGCCUUGGCACUAGAAGCCGAUGAAGGACGUUACUAACGACGAUAUGCUUUGGGGAGCUGUAAGUAAGCUUUGAUCCAGAGAUUUCCGAAUGGGGAAACCCAGCAUGAGUUAUGUCAUGUUAUCGAUAUGUGAAUACAUAGCAUAUCAGAAGGCACACCCGGAGAACUGAAACAUCUUAGUACCCGGAGGAAGAGAAAGAAAAUUCGAUUCCCUUAGUAGCGGCGAGCGAAACGGGAAGAGCCCAAACCAACAAGCUUGCUUGUUGGGGUUGUAGGACACUCUAUACGGAGUUACAAAGGACGACAUUAGACGAAUCAUCUGGAAAGAUGAAUCAAAGAAGGUAAUAAUCCUGUAGUCGAAAAUGUUGUCUCUCUUGAGUGGAUCCUGAGUACGACGGAGCACGUGAAAUUCCGUCGGAAUCUGGGAGGACCAUCUCCUAAGGCUAAAUACUCUCUAGUGACCGAUAGUGAACCAGUACCGUGAGGGAAAGGUGAAAAGCACCCCGGAAGGGGAGUGAAAUAGAACCUGAAACCGUGUGCUUACAAGUAGUCAGAGCCCGUUAAUGGGUGAUGGCGUGCCUUUUGUAGAAUGAACCGGCGAGUUACGAUUUGAUGCAAGGUUAAGCAGUAAAUGUGGAGCCGUAGCGAAAGCGAGUCUGAAUAGGGCGUUUAGUAUUUGGUCGUAGACCCGAAACCAGGUGAUCUACCCUUGGUCAGGUUGAAGUUCAGGUAACACUGAAUGGAGGACCGAACCGACUUACGUUGAAAAGUGAGCGGAUGAACUGAGGGUAGCGGAGAAAUUCCAAUCGAACCUGGAGAUAGCUGGUUCUCUCCGAAAUAGCUUUAGGGCUAGCCUCAAGUGAUGAUUAUUGGAGGUAGAGCACUGUUUGGACGAGGGGCCCCUCUCGGGUUACCGAAUUCAGACAAACUCCGAAUGCCAAUUAAUUUAACUUGGGAGUCAGAACAUGGGUGAUAAGGUCCGUGUUCGAAAGGGAAACAGCCCAGACCACCAGCUAAGGUCCCAAAAUAUAUGUUAAGUGGAAAAGGAUGUGGCGUUGCCCAGACAACUAGGAUGUUGGCUUAGAAGCAGCCAUCAUUUAAAGAGUGCGUAAUAGCUCACUAGUCGAGUGACACUGCGCCGAAAAUGUACCGGGGCUAAACAUAUUACCGAAGCUGUGGAUUGUCCUUUGGACAAUGGUAGGAGAGCGUUCUAAGGGCGUUGAAGCAUGAUCGUAAGGACAUGUGGAGCGCUUAGAAGUGAGAAUGCCGGUGUGAGUAGCGAAAGACGGGUGAGAAUCCCGUCCACCGAUUGACUAAGGUUUCCAGAGGAAGGCUCGUCCGCUCUGGGUUAGUCGGGUCCUAAGCUGAGGCCGACAGGCGUAGGCGAUGGAUAACAGGUUGAUAUUCCUGUACCACCUAUAAUCGUUUUAAUCGAUGGGGGGACGCAGUAGGAUAGGCGAAGCGUGCGAUUGGAUUGCACGUCUAAGCAGUAAGGCUGAGUAUUAGGCAAAUCCGGUACUCGUUAAGGCUGAGCUGUGAUGGGGAGAAGACAUUGUGUCUUCGAGUCGUUGAUUUCACACUGCCGAGAAAAGCCUCUAGAUAGAAAAUAGGUGCCCGUACCGCAAACCGACACAGGUAGUCAAGAUGAGAAUUCUAAGGUGAGCGAGCGAACUCUCGUUAAGGAACUCGGCAAAAUGACCCCGUAACUUCGGGAGAAGGGGUGCUCUUUAGGGUUAACGCCCAGAAGAGCCGCAGUGAAUAGGCCCAAGCGACUGUUUAUCAAAAACACAGGUCUCUGCUAAACCGUAAGGUGAUGUAUAGGGGCUGACGCCUGCCCGGUGCUGGAAGGUUAAGAGGAGUGGUUAGCUUCUGCGAAGCUACGAAUCGAAGCCCCAGUAAACGGCGGCCGUAACUAUAACGGUCCUAAGGUAGCGAAAUUCCUUGUCGGGUAAGUUCCGACCCGCACGAAAGGCGUAACGAUUUGGGCACUGUCUCAACGAGAGACUCGGUGAAAUCAUAGUACCUGUGAAGAUGCAGGUUACCCGCGACAGGACGGAAAGACCCCGUGGAGCUUUACUGUAGCCUGAUAUUGAAAUUCGGCACAGCUUGUACAGGAUAGGUAGGAGCCUUUGAAACGUGAGCGCUAGCUUACGUGGAGGCGCUGGUGGGAUACUACCCUAGCUGUGUUGGCUUUCUAACCCGCACCACUUAUCGUGGUGGGAGACAGUGUCAGGCGGGCAGUUUGACUGGGGCGGUCGCCUCCUAAAAGGUAACGGAGGCGCUCAAAGGUUCCCUCAGAAUGGUUGGAAAUCAUUCAUAGAGUGUAAAGGCAUAAGGGAGCUUGACUGCGAGACCUACAAGUCGAGCAGGGUCGAAAGACGGACUUAGUGAUCCGGUGGUUCCGCAUGGAAGGGCCAUCGCUCAACGGAUAAAAGCUACCCCGGGGAUAACAGGCUUAUCUCCCCCAAGAGUUCACAUCGACGGGGAGGUUUGGCACCUCGAUGUCGGCUCAUCGCAUCCUGGGGCUGUAGUCGGUCCCAAGGGUUG
rnacentral:rRNA from 1 species